UUUAAUUGGUAUAUCAUGAUGUCUUCAUCAACAAUUUGAAGUCUUAGAAGUUGAAUUGAACUAUCUUUUAGCGGUUGAAAUGAUCAAUAAAAUUAUUAAAUCACCAUGGAGAAUCCAAAGAAUCAUUGAAGAAAUCAUACCUAAGGUUGUCCAAAGGAACAUAGAAGUCGAACAUUGUUAUAGGGAAGAAAAUCAUGAAGACGAG
rnacentral:lncRNA from 1 species